UACGUAGGUGGCAAGCGUUGUCCGGAUUUACUGGGCGUAAAGAGCGCGCAGGCGGUCGUUCAAGUCGAGUGUGAAAGCCCCCGGCUCAACUGGGGAGGGUCACGCGAUACUGCUCGACUCGAAGGCAGGAGAGGGAAGUGGAAUUCCCGGUGUAGUGGUGAAAUGCGUAGAUAUCGGGAGGAACACCAGUGGCGAAGGCGACUUCCUGGCCUGUUCUUGACGCUGAGGCGCGAAAGCUAGGGUAGCAAACGGG
rnacentral:rRNA from 1 species